rnacentral:rRNA from 1 species
CGGGAGGCAGCAGUGGGGAAUAUUGGGCAAUGGGCGCAAGCCUGACCCAGCAACGCCGCGUGAAGGAAGAAGGCUUUCGGGUUGUAAACUUCUUUUCUCAGGGACGAAGCAAGUGACGGUACCUGAGGAAUAAGCCACGGCUAACUACGUGCCAGCAGCCGCGGUAAUACGUAGGUGGCAAGCGUUAUCCGGAUUUACUGGGUGUAAAGGGCGUGUAGGCGGGAAAGCAAGUCAGAUGUGAAAACCACGGGCUCAACCUGUGGCCUGCAUUUGAAACUGUUUUUCUUGAGUACUGGAGAGGCAGA